UUCCUGGAAAGUUUUUCUCUGAUUCUUUCUGUACUUCUACAUAGUUUUCUUUUGGAGAGCUUUUAAGGUAGUUUUAUUAAGCUCAGAAGUCUUAAAAGAGGCAGGCGCUCUUAAAGUACUUUGAUGAGAUGGGAUGGUUUCUUUUCUUGAAAUCGCUCCUUAAGGACUCUUUUCUUGAAUUUAGUAUAACUAAGCAAUGGCUAAACAGGUUUGAUAUGAUCCACAUUUGAUCCGAGGUAUUUAUUUUUUUUGGGUAAGCUUAUCCGAAGUAGUGUUCGACAGCACAUAGUACAUGAAAGGCUUCUUUUAGCGGUUGUUGCACGUUGCAAU
rnacentral:lncRNA from 1 species